UACGGGGGGGCAAGCGUUGUUCGGAAUUACUGGGCGUAAAGGGCUCGUAGGCGGCCAACUAAGUCAGACGUGAAAUCCCUCGGCUUAACCGGGGAACUGCGUCUGAUACUGGAUGGCUUGAGAUUGGGAGAGGGAUGCGGAAUUCCAGGUGUAGCGGUGAAAUGCGCAGAUAUCAGGAGGAACACCGGUGGCGAAGGCGGAUCUCUGGGCCUUACCUGACGCUGGAGGAGCGGAAAGCAUGGGGAGCAAACAGG
rnacentral:rRNA from 1 species